rnacentral:rRNA from 1 species
GGCUAACUACGUGCCAGCAGCCGCGGUAAGACGUAGGAUGCAAGCGUUGUCCGGAUUUAUUGGGCGUAAAGAGUUCGUAGGUGGUUUGUUAAGUUUGGUGUUAAAGAUUGGGGCUCAACCCUGAAACUGCACUGAAUACUGGCAGACUCGAGUGUGGUAGAGGCUAGUGGAAUUCCCAGUGUAGCGGUGAAAUGCGUAGAUAUUGGGAAGAACACCGGUGGCGUAGGCGACUAGCUGGGCCAUAACUGACACUGAGGAACGAAAGCCAGGGGAGCGAAUGGGAUUAGAUACCCCAGUAGUCCUGGCCGUAAAACGAUGGAUACUAGGCGUAUCGGGUAUCGACCCCUGAUGUGCCGCAGCUAACGCGAUAAGUAUCCCGCCUGAGUAGUACGGCCGCAAGG